GACGAACGCUGGCGGCGUGCCUAAUACAUGCAAGUCGAACGAACUCUGGUAUUGAUUGGUGCUUGCAUCAUGAUUUACAUUUGAGUGAGUGGCGAACUGGUGAGUAACACGUGGGAAACCUGCCCAGAAGCGGGGGAUAACACCUGGAAACAGAUGCUAAUACCGCAUAACAACUUGGACCGCAUGGUCCGAGYUUGAAAGAUGGCUUCGGCUAUCACUUUUGGAUGGUCCCGCGGCGUAUUAGCUAGAUGGUGRGGUAACGGCUCACCAUGGCAAUGAUACGUAGCCGACCUGAGAGGGUAAUCGGCCACAUUGGGACUGAGACACGGCCCAAACUCCUACGGGAGGCAGCAGUAGGGAAUCUUCCACAAUGGACGAAAGUCUGAUGGAGCAACGCCGCGUGAGUGAAGAAGGGUUUCGGCUCGUAAAACUCUGUUGUUAAAGAAGAACAUAUCUGAGAGUAACUGUUCAGGUAUUGACGGUAUUUAACCAGAAAGCCACGGCUAACUACGUGCCAGCAGCCGCGGUAAUACGUAGGUGGCAAGCGUUGUCCGGAUUUAUUGGGCGUAAAGCGAGCGCAGGCGGUUUUUUAAGUCUGAUGUGAAAGCCUUCGGCUCAACCGAAGAAGUGCAUCGGAAACUGGGAAACUUGAGUGCAGAAGAGGACAGUGGAACUCCAUGUGUAGCGGUGAAAUGCGUAGAUAUAUGGAAGAACACCAGUGGCGAAGGCGGCUGUCUGGUCUGUAACUGACGCUGAGGCUCGAAAGUAUGGGUAGCAAACAGGAUUAGAUACCCUGGUAGUCCAUACCGUAAACGAUGAAUGCUAAGUGUUGGAGGGUUUCCGCCCUUCAGUGCUGCAGCUAACGCAUUAAGCAUUCCGCCUGGGGAGUACGGCCGCAAGGCUGAAACUCAAAGGAAUUGACGGGGGCCCGCACAAGCGGUGGAGCAUGUGGUUUAAUUCGAAGCUACGCGAAGAACCUUACCAGGUCUUGACAUACUAUGCAAAUCUAAGAGAUUAGACGUUCCCUUCGGGGACAUGGAUACAGGUGGUGCAUGGUUGUCGUCAGCUCGUGUCGUGAGAUGUUGGGUUAAGUCCCGCAACGAGCGCAACCCUUAUUAUCAGUUGCCAGCAUUAAGUUGGGCACUCUGGUGAGACUGCCGGUGACAAACCGGAGGAAGGUGGGGAUGACGUCAAAUCAUCAUGCCCCUUAUGACCUGGGCUACACACGUGCUACAAUGGAUGGUACAACGAGUUGCGAACUCGCGAGAGUAAGCUAAUCUCUUAAAGCCAUUCUCAGUUCGGAUUGUAGGCUGCAACUCGCCUACAUGAAGUCGGAAUCGCUAGUAAUC
rnacentral:rRNA from 2 species